AGCAGCCGCGGUAAUUCCAGCUCCAAUAGCGUAUAUUAAAGUUGUUGCAGUUAAAAAGCUCGUAGUUGAAUUUCGGGAUCAAUAUAUUGGUCGUGCCUCUGGUAUGAACUGGUAUUAUUGAUUUCUACCUUCUGACGAACUGUGAUGUCAUUAAUUUGGUGUCAUGGGGAAUCAGGACUGUUACUUUGAAAAAAUUGAGUGUUUAAAGCAGGCACACGCUUGAAUACAUUAGCAUGGAAUAAUGAAAUAGGACGUUUGACCCUAUUUUGUUGGUUUCUAGGAUCGACGUAAUGAUUAAUAGGGAUAGUUGGGGCAUUAGUAUUCAAUUGUCAGAGGUGAAAUUCUUGGAUUUAUUGAAGUACUAACUACUGCGAAAGCAUUUGCCAAGGAUGUUUCAUUAAUCAAGAACGAAAGUUAGGGAUCGAAGACGAUCAG
rnacentral:rRNA from 1 species